CCGCGGUAAUUCCAGCUCCAAUAGCGUAUAUUAAAGUUGCUGCAGUUAAAAAGCUCGUAGUUGGAUCUCGGUGGCAUUGCUGCCGGUUGGCUGACGUGUUGGCGCCUGUAAGCGCAUAGGCCCAGCCUGUGUCGCCGAAGGUGCUGAACCAGGCCAGCCUGGUGGUGGUGUAACCUUUUAGCCAUGUCUGUGGUGAAAUACCCACAGGUGUGAGCGAGCGUCUGAUGGCGCCCUGCAAUUGUGGGGUCUGUCGGCUCGUUCGCAUGCCCUCGGGUGCCCUUCAAAAGGUGUCUGCGGGCGGAUGGCACGUUUACUUUGAACAAAUUUGAGUGCUCAAACCAGGCCGACGUCGCCUGAAAAGUUUUGCAUGGAAUAAUGGAAUAGGACUUCGGUUCUAUUUCGUUGGUUUUCGGAUCCGAAGUAAUGAUCAAAAGGGACAGGCGGGGACGUUUGUAUGGCUGCGCUAGAGGUGAAAUUCAUGGACCGUAGCCAGACAAACUAAAGCGAAAGCAUUCGUCAAGCAUGUUUUCAUUGSCAUGAGCGAAAGUCAGAGGCUCGAAGACGAUCAGAUACCGUCCUAGUUCUGRCCAUAAACGAUGCCAACUGACGAUCCGUGGUGGUAGUCGAACAACCUUUCCCACGGGCAGUCCCCGGGAAACCUUUAAGUCUUUGGGUUCCGGGGAAAGUAUGGUGSAAAGUNAAACUUAAAGGAAUUGACGAAAGGSACCACCAGAAUGAAGCUUCGGCUUAAUUKGACUCAACACGGNAAACCACCGGCCGGGACACUAUGAGGAUUGNCAGAUUAAAAGCUCUUUCUUGAUUUGGUGGUKGGUGGUGCAUGGCCGUUCUUAGUUGGUGAACGAUUUGUCUGGUUAAUUCCGAUAACGAACGAGACUCCAGCCUGCUAAUUAGUGCAUCCGUCCACUGUGCCUGCGAUGGCAGUGUCAGGCAUAUCUGCGGUCGUAUGGUCAUGGAGUGCGCCUUCCCCUCACGGGGUGGUUGGCUUGUGUGGCUAGACAGCAGGUGGCCUGUCACCGGCUUCCAGGUACGGCGCGGGUGUAUGCUUCUUAGAGGGACAAGCGUAAGAAGGCGCACGAAAUUGAGCAAUAACAGGUCUGUGAUGCCCUUAGAUGUCCGGGGCCGCACGCGCGCUACAAUGACGGUGGCAACGAGUCUGACCUUCUGGCCCGAAAGGGUUGGACAAACUGGUCAAUCACCGUCAUGACAGGGAUCGGGGCUUGGAAUUGUUCCCCGUGAACGAGGAAUUCCUAGUAAGUGCAAGUCAUAAGCUUGCGCUGAUUACGUCCCUGCCCUUUGUACACACCGCCGUCGSUACUACCGAUUGAAUGGUUUAGUAAGGUCCUUGGAUUGGCGCCAUUGUGGUAAAUGCCGAAAGGCAACUGCCCAGGUGGUGCUGANAAGACGACCGRACUUGAUCAUUUAGAGGAAGUAAAAGUCGKAACAAAGGGUUUU
rnacentral:rRNA from 1 species